rnacentral:rRNA from 1 species
CGGAGGAUGCAAGUGUUAUCCGGAAUCACUGGGCGUAAAGCGUCUGUAGGUGGUUUAAAAAGUCUAUUGUUAAGAAUUGAAGCUUAACUUCAAAGAUGCAAUGGAAACUUUUAAACUUGAGUAUGGUAGGGGUAGAGGGAAUUUCCAGUGGAGCGGUGAAAUGCGUAGAUAUUGGAAAGACCACCAAUGGCGAAGGCACUCUACUGGGCCAUUACUGACACUGAGAGACGAAAGCUAGGGGAGCGAAUGGG